AAUGUGUUUUCUUUAUUUGUCGCCAUUAAACGUGCAUGGACAUGUGGCAUUGUCACUUUAGGAAGGUUUCCAUGGGAGUUAUUGCUAACUCGAAAGUAACAAAUAUUGUGAUGCUUUAUAUUUGUUUAUGGUUGAUGGUUAGCCUUCCACUGGAUUUAAGCACCAUAAAUUUUGCACACAAAAAAUUCCAACAAAUUUGGCUGCCACAGAUUCAGCAAGAAAAGAACAAACAUAUGGAUAUGAAUAGAAUAUUGAAAUAGGUAAAAAAAAGUGUAACUGGUUCACCAUAACCAGUUACCAACAAAUGGAAGUAUUGACUGCAAACAUAACGCACACACUUUUGCAAGAUUUUACAAAUAAAUGCCUUUUGGCCUUUUUCAUUUUGGUUCUAUCUAAUGUGGUUUUGUUGUUCGGCAGAGAAAAAAUGUGACAUCAUAAUAGGACCUCUUAUCAUUAUUCUGAUAUAAAAUCACGCAUUGCCAAUUGCAUGAUGAUACAGAAGUUGCCUCUUAAUAUGGCGCAUUAAUAAUGCACCUCUUAUGGAAGUUGCCUCUUAAUAUGGCACUACUGGAAUUAGCUUAUUUGCCGUCUGCCAGUUCUUUGCCGUCUGCUAGCUGACGGCAAAGAAGGUCUUUGCCGUCCGCUUACAAAAAACGGACGGCAAAGAACUGGCUGAUGGCAAAGAAGGAUUUUAAUGAACCUACUCUGUUCUUUCAGGUACAUAAAACUAUGUGGCCACCUUCAAACUUGCAAAUCCCUGUAGUAUGUGUUCCAUCCCUUGAUUGCCUCAUCCUCUUGAAUUUGCAAAACUAUGUGGACUGCAAGCUUAACAGAUUAAUCCAUAUUUUCUUUUGGUCAGUAUUGUGGAGACUUGAGACCUGUGCCUUGUCACAUGAGGCUGAAGGGUUUGCUUUCCUUAACCUGUGUAAUGGGUGCAUAGAAAUAGGAUUGAAAAGAAAAGAGAAGAUCUAUGGUAGGAAGGAGUGGAAAUGGGUCUAGUAAUAAUGCACUAAGUUUUGUUUAAUUUUUAAGAAACCUAUGGUUUGCUUGGGCUUUUGUUUGCCAUAGCAUCAACGUUACCGUCUUCAGCGUUUGUUAGAUGAGCAACAUGCGUUUAAAAGAAGAUAUGUUGCAUUAUCUUUUAAGGCAAUGUUUUUCUAACGAGAUCCUUUUCAGGCAAUGUUGAUCAUGACUCACGUGGAUCAUGCCAGCUAGACAUGUGUCAAGUGCGUACAAUUAUUAAUGACACUAUUAAUGCAUAUCUGGGCAUUUCAUCCAUUGCCGGAGUGGAAGUUACUAUUUAUUUUGGAACUUUCUGAUGCAUGUAUUCCUUGUCAACAAAAAGCAAAUCAAGGUAAUAUUUGAACACUUGUGAAAAAUCUCUAAAGAGGUGACAAAUUAAUGACUUGUGAGUAAGCAUCAAUCCCACAUUUGCUUCCACUCACGUUUACGAGCAUAAUAGCUCCAUCCCACUUUUUUUGUCUUUAUUGCCUUAAAUCUGGUACUAGUUUGCAGCUACUGAGCUACAUGCCAUUUUGACUGCAUGGACGAUGCUAUGUUCUGGAAAGUUUCUGGUACGUGGUACCUUAUCAUUAAGCAAUCACCUAUCCAGUGAUGUCAUUUCACCGGCCUUUGCUCGAUCGGAAGAGUGUUGGGUGGCGUGGGGUUGAAAGGCCCUAUGCUCCUCCUUCGUAGCCGGUUCAAAUCCGGCAGGCCGGUAUCUGUUUCAUUAUCUGUGUUCUCAUGUAAAUAACAUCUUUGCUUGCUUGCAAUUCCGCUGUCAAUUCUCGUUCAUAUUGCUCCAUGCGUUGGUGCCUGUUUGAUCAUAAAUACACUCACGGCCAGAGUCACAGAGAGGAGGUACUUACUAUCUUCUUGGCCAAACAAGGUGCUGGUUUGGGCGUUCCCUCAAAUUGGUCGUCUGCAUGCAACACCAGCUAUCCGUGGAAAACUUUAAUGUCCUCGUUAUGUUGCACUUGUAGCAAUUCCAAUUCUGUCACACUGCCACGAUGUACAUACAGACGGGCAGCCGAAAUAUUGGUGCUACAAAUACGUUAUAGUACAAAUUAGGCAGUUUUUGACAUCCCCUGAAUUAUGUUCUUAUCAAGCUGUUGUUUGCUUUAUUUCCUCCAUCAGGCCGUGGCGGCCGAAAAUCCGGGGAGCGGUGUGUUUUAA